GUCCUAGCUAUAAACGGUGCACGUUUGCUGUGAGAGGAUUCGACCCCUUUCGUGGCGUAGUAAACACGAUAAACGUGCCGCCUGGGAAGUACGGCCGCAAGGUUAAAACUCAAAGAAAUUGACGGGGGCCUGCACAAGCGGUGGAGUAUGUGGCUUAAUUCGAUGCAACGCGAAGAACCUUACCUGGCCUUGACAUGCAUGUAGUAGAAGGGUGAAAGCCCGACGAGUGUAGCAAUACACAGCGUGCACAGGUGCUGCAUGGCUGUCGU
rnacentral:rRNA from 1 species